rnacentral:rRNA from 1 species
CCGCGGUAAUACGGGGGGCGCAAGCGUUGUUCGGAAUUACUGGGCGUAAAGCGCACGUAGGCGGAUCGGUCAGUUAGGGGUGAAAUCCCAGGGCUCAACCCUGGAACUGCCUCUAAUACUGCCGAUCUCGAGUUCGAGAGAGGUGAGUGGAAUUCCGAGUGUAGAGGUGAAAUUCGUAGAUAUUCGGAGGAACACCAGUGGCGAAGGCGGCUCACUGGCUCGAUACUGACGCUGAGGUGCGAAAGCGUGGGGAGCAAACAGG